AGUUCUCCUCCAGGGAAGGCAUCGCCGAGAAAUAACCAGUGUCAUGGACGAGUUGGAGUUCCUGGAAAAUACUGUAAUUCGCCAAAACAUCCAUGGUUGACGAGGAGGGGAAAGGGGGAAAGAGUGGAGAAAACAAACCACAAAAAGCUGGAGGAAAAGCGCGAGCUGGUGCAGACGAGCGCACCUGAGCACUUUAAUUUAAAAAAAAAAAAUCGAGAAACGGCAACGUGGGUAGAAAGUGUGUGUUAUUUGAUCUUUGUCAGCGCAAUCCCCGCUCUCUCUCUCUCUCUCUACUCCUCCAGCUCGCUCUGUCACGCCUUCUCUCCUCAAUCCGGGGGUGCCAGAUCUAUUUCCGCAUUGCCAGAUUGCCGAUCGGGCUCCGUCCGAAGCUGCCAGGUUGCCAGGUUUGCUCCUCCAGCAGCAGACUGUACCCCGGCGCGGAGAGGCGGACGGGAGUUCAGGAGGAGGAGGAGGGGGGGUGGGAGGCGAGAGGCGGAGCCACCUUGUCACUCAAUUUCAUGCGUGACCUUAUAAGGCAAAUAGGGUUGAUGAUGUCACUCUUGUCCAAUUAAGGAGGCGCUGAGACAGAGGGAGCGGGCGGGGCUUUGAGGGACGCAGCCGCGCCAUUGGCUGCGUGGGGACGUCGGUCUCGCUGUAGAUGGCAGCGAGGGGGUGAGUUAUUUUUAGAGGCCUAUAUAAAAGCAGCAGCAUUCCUCUCUCAGUCAUAACAGGCUGCACGGGCAGAGAGGUGAGAAGCGGGAAGUCGGCGGCUGCGGCGCGCGCGACGAAAGUGUGAAUUUGCGGAAAGUUGCAGGUGAGAGUCAGAAGAAGAAGAAGAAGCAGCGGUGAUAAAAGAGAGAGAGAGAAAAAAGGUGCCGGGUUGUUGUUUUGGAAGGCGCGAGCGCCUCAGCUCAGAUCCCUCGUGUGGUUUUUCCUGUGGUUACGUCCUGCGUGGAGAGCAGCGACUCCGUGGGAGGAAAAGCUCGGCUCAGCCCGCCCUCCUGCUCAGUUGACAAGAGGUUUUUAUUUUUGUUGUUGAGAGUGAAAAUAAAAAUGCAACAAAAGCA